rnacentral:rRNA from 1 species
UGGGGAAUUUUGGACAAUGGGCGAAAGCCUGAUCCCAGCAAUGCCGCGUGUGUGAAGAAGGCCUUCGGGUUGUAAAGCACUUUUGUCCGGAAAGAAAUCCUUGGCUCUAAUACAGUCGGGGGAUGACGGUACCGGAAGAAUAAGCACCGGCUAACUACGUGCCAGCAGCCGCGGUAAUACGUAGGGUGCAAGCGUUAAUCGGAAUUACUGGGCGUAAAGCGUGCGCAGGCGGUUUGCUAAGACCGAUGUGAAAUCCCCGGGCUCAACCUGGGAACUGCAUUGGUGACUGGCAGGCUAGAGUAUGGCAGAGGGGGGUAGAAUUCCACGUGUAGCAGUGAAAUGCGUAGAGAUGUGGAGGAAUACCGAUGGCGAAGGCAGCCCCCUGGGCCAAUACUGACGCUCAUGCACGAAAGCGUGGGGAGCAAACAGGAUUAGAUACCCCUGGUAGUCCCACGCCCUAAACGAUGUCAACUAGUUGUUGGGGAUUCAUUUCCUUAGUAACGUAGCUAACGCGUGAAGUUGACCGCCUGGGGAGUACGGUCGCAAGAUUAAAACUCAAAUGAAUUGACGGGGUCAUAGCUGUUUCCU